rnacentral:rRNA from 1 species
CCUACGGGAGGCAGCAGUGAGGAAUAUUGGUCAAUGGGAGCGAUCCUGAACCAGCCAAGCCGCGUGAAGGAUGACUGCCCUACGGGUUGUAAACUUCUUUUAUCAAGGAAUAAAGUGAGGCACGUGUGCCUUUUUGUGUGUACUUUAUGAAUAAGGAUCGGCUAACUCCGUGCCAGCAGCCGCGGUAAUACGGAGGAUCCGAGCGUUAUCCGGAUUUAUUGGGUUUAAAGGGUGCGUAGAUGGGUUGUUAAGUCAGUGGUGAAAGUGUGGGGCUCAACCGUAGAAGUGCAAUUGAUACUGGCAGUGUUGAGUAGAGUUGAGGUAGGCGGAAUUCGUGGUGUAGCGGUGAAAUGCUUAGAUAUCACGAAGAACUCCGAUUGCGAAGGCAGCUUACUAGACUGACACUGACAUUGAUGCUCGAAAGUGUGGGUAUCAAACAGGAUUAGAUACCCGGGGAGUU